rnacentral:rRNA from 1 species
AACGCUAGCUACAGGCUUAACACAUGCAAGUCGAGGGGAAACGACAUCGAAAGCUUGCUUUUGAUGGGCGUCGACCGGCGCACGGGUGAGUAACGCGUAUCCAACCUGCCCACCACUUGGGGAUAACCUUGCGAAAGUAAGACUAAUACCCAAUGAUAUCUCUAGAAGACAUCUGAAAGAGAUUAAAGAUUUAUCGGUGAUGGAUGGGGAUGCGUCUGAUUAGCUUGUUGGCGGGGUAACGGCCCACCAAGGCAACGAUCAGUAGGGGUUCUGAGAGGAAGGUCCCCCACAUUGGAACUGAGACACGGUCCAAACUCCUACGGGAGGCAGCAGUGAGGAAUAUUGGUCAAUGGACGAGAGUCUGAACCAGCCAAGUAGCGUGCAGGAAGACGGCCCUAUGGGUUGUAAACUGCUUUUAUAAGGGAAUAAAGUGAGUCUCGUGAGACUUUUUGCAUGUACCUUAUGAAUAAGGACCGGCUAAUUCCGUGCCAGCAGCCGCGGUAAUACGGAAGGUCCGGGCGUUAUCCGGAUUUAUUGGGUUUAAAGGGAGCGUAGGCCGGAGAUUAAGCGUGUUGUGAAAUGUAGAUGCUCAACAUCUGAACUGCAGCGCGAACUGGUUUCCUUGAGUACGCACAAAGUGGGCGGAAUUCGUGGUGUAGCGGUGAAAUGCUUAGAUAUCACGAAGAACUCCGAUUG